AUUGAACGCUGGCGGCAGGCCUAACACAUGCAAGUCGAGCGGAUGAAGGGAGCUUGCUCCUGGAUUCAGCGGCGGACGGGUGAGUAAUGCCUAGGAAUCUGCCUGGUAGUGGGGGAUAACGUCCGGAAACGGGCGCUAAUACCGCAUACGUCCUGAGGGAGAAAGUGGGGGAUCUUCGGACCUCACGCUAUCAGAUGAGCCUAGGUCGUAUUAGCUAGUUGGUGGGGUAAAGGCCUACCAAGGCGACGAUCCGUAACUGGUCUGAGAGGAUGAUCAGUCACACUGGAACUGAGACACGGUCCAGACUCCUACGGGAGGCAGCAGUGGGGAUUAUUGGACAAUGGGCGAAAGCCUGAUCCAGCCAUGCGGGGUGUGUGAAGAAGGUCUUCGGAUUGUAAAGCACUUUAAGUUGGGAGGAAGGGUAGUAAGGUAAUACCGUGCUGUUUGGACGUUACCAACAGAAUAAGCACCGGCUAACUUCGU
rnacentral:rRNA from 1 species